CUAACAGCUAAAGUUUUGUG
rnacentral:snRNA from 1 species